rnacentral:rRNA from 1 species
CCAGCAGCUGCGGUAAUUCCCGCUCCAAUAGCGUAUAUUAAAGUUGUUGCAGUUAAAAAGCUCGUAGUUGGAUUUCUGGCAGGAUGACUUCGCCCUCUGUUGAGUGCGCGAAGAUAUCUUACCAUCCUUCUGUUAACGUUGGACUUCUUCACCGAAGUCCUUCAGGCUCAGAUAUUUUACCUUGAGAAAAUUAGAGUGUUUCAGGCAGGCUAGCGUCGGAAUACAUUAGCAUGGAAUAAUGGAAUAGGACUUGAACCUCUUCUGUUGGUCUAAGGGGUGCAAGUAAUGAUUAAUAGGGAUAGUUGGGGGCAUUAGUACUUAACUGUCAGAGGUGAAAUUCUCGGAUUUGUUAAAGACUAACCUAUGCGAAAGCAUUUGCCAAGGAUGUUUUCAUUAAUCAAGAACGAAAGU